CGGGGUGAGUAAUGUCUGGGAAACUGCCUGAUGGAGGGGGAUAACUACUGGAAACGGUAGCUAAUACCGCAUAACGUCGCAAGACCAAAGAGGGGGACCUUCGGGCCUCUUGCCAUCGGAUGUGCCCAGAUGGGAUUAGCUAGUAGGUGGGGUAACGGCUCACCUAGGCGACGAUCCCUAGCUGGUCUGAGAGGAUGACCAGCCACACUGGAACUGAGACACGGUCCAG
rnacentral:rRNA from 1 species